AUUGAACGCUGGCGGCAGGCCUAACACAUGCAAGUCGAGCGGAUGAAGGGAGCUUGCUCCUGGAUUCAGCGGCGGACGGGGGAGUAAUGCCUAGGAAUCUGCCUGGUAGUGGGGGAUAACGUCCGGAAACGGGCGCUAAUACCGCAUACGUCCUGAUGGAGAAAGUGGGGGAUCUUCGGACCUCACGCUAUCAGAUGAGCCUAGGUCGGAUUAGCUAGUUGGUGGGGUAAAGGCCUACCAAGGCGACGAUCCGUAACUGGUCUGAGAGGAUGAUCAGUCACACUGGAACUGAGACACGGUCCAGACUCCUACGGGAGGCAGCAGUGGGGAAUAUUGGACAAUGGGCGAGAGCCUGAUCCAGCCAUGCCGCGUGUGUGAAGAAGGUCUUCGGAUUGUAAAGCACUUUUAGUUGGGAGGAAGGGCAGUAAGUUAAUACCUUGCUGUUUUGACGUUACCAACAGAAUAAGCACCGGCUAACUUCGUG
rnacentral:rRNA from 1 species